rnacentral:tRNA from 1 species
GGUGGUUCACUGGUAGAAUUUUUGCUUUCCAUGCAGGAGAACCAGGUUCAGUUCCUGGCC